rnacentral:rRNA from 1 species
CCUACGGGUGUCAGCAGUGGGGAAUAUUGGACAAUGGGGGGAACCCUGAUCCAGCGACGCCGCGUGAGUGAAGAAUUCUUUCGGUAUGUAAAGCUCUAUCAGCAGGGAAGAAAGAAAUGACGGUACCUGACUAAGAAGCCCCGUCUAACUACGUGCCAGCAGCCGCGGUAAUACGUAGGGGGCAAGCGUUAUCCGGAUUUACUGGGUGUAAAGGGAGCGUAGACGGUUACGCAAGUCUGGAGUGAAAGGUGGGGGCUCAACCCCAGGACUGCUUUGGAAACUGUCUAACUGGAGUGCAGGAGAGGUAAGUGGAAUUCGUAGUGUAGCGGUGAAAUGCGUAGAUAUUAGGAGGAACACCAGUGGCGAAGGCGGCUUACUGGACUGUAACUGACGUUGAGGCUCGAAAGCGUGGGGAGCAAACAGGAUUAGAUACCCCUGUAGUC